rnacentral:rRNA from 1 species
UAAUCCGACCUAGGCUCAUCUGAUAGCGCAAGGCCCGAAGGUCCCCUGCUUUCUCCCGUAGGACGUAUGCGGUAUUAGCGUCCGUUUCCGAACGUUAUCCCCCACUACCAGGCAGAUUCCUAGGUAUUCCUCACCCGUCCGCCACUCGUCAGCACCCUUGCGGGCCUGUUACCGUUCGACUUGCAUGUGUUAGGCAUGCCGCCAGCGUUCACUCUGAGCCAGGAUCAAACUCU